rnacentral:lncRNA from 1 species
AAAAAAAAAAAAAAAACCUGCAUUUACACCCAGCUAUUCAGAAUAUGGUGUUCCCCCAAAAUAUUUGGACAGCAGAAACCAACGACUGCCUAGAAUCUGCCUCCUUAUCACAUCUGCACUUCCUAACCAAAGGAGGGAGAUACAUUACGAUUUACCCUAGUGAAAAAAACCCAUUGAGGGGGAGCCUGAUCACCUAUCACUAAUGACCAUGAUACCCUUUUCUAGACAGACAGCUCCACUGCUAGCUAAGCAGGCUCUAGAAAAAAUCUGCCACAUGAGCACACGAUAAUCACACAGAAUAAGCUUCAAGUGAAUUACCUUGAAACUUUUUGACAGAACAAAAAUAAGGUUUCAAUCACUGUCAACUUCCAUUAGUGGGCCAAAUCUUAUACGUGUCUUAAUUGACAAAUUUAUUUGUGAACCAUUUCCUGCCAUAGAAAAUGCCUACACUAUAUACAGCACACAGCUCCUCACAUCCAGUAAGCUAGUUUGAGAAAAUAAAAACUUAGAAAAGUUCUCUAUACUCGACUCAUGCAGGAUGAUACAAUCUUGAGCAAACUGACCAGAUUUAGACAGAACUGUAAUACUCAUGCAAAAGAUCUCCAGAUUUUAAAGAACACGCUUGAGCCCGCACGAACAACAUUAAGGAAAUGUAAUAGUGUAGAGACACCACACAGAGAAAAAAAAAUAAUAAUAAUGUAACACAAUUGUCAUGUUGAAAAUAUUUAGGAUAUUUGCUCUUACAAAGUAGCCACAGAAAGCUAGCAUUUUUAGAAUGUAUUGGUGGGAUUAUGAUAGGAUAUCAAUGGCAAUACAGUAGGAAUUUCAUGAAGCUAUAUUACAUCUAUUACUCUUGUCAUCAAUUACCCUUGAAUAUAGGAAUAUCAUGUUUGUAGGUAAAGAAAACUAACAAAUAAUUACGAUAGAUGAUACAGCAGCAUAUACCUCUGCAAAGUUCCUCUGGUCUGCAGUAAGACGUUUAGUGGAUAAUUCCUUUAAGGUUCGGAAUAGGAUCAUAAAAAUCCUGUGGGAAGUAAGAACAUCUGCUGCUUGAAGCUGCUGUGCUAAAACAGAAAAGAGCUGCGGCCUAAACAAAUCAUUACAUAUUUUUUAUCAAUACAUAAAAUUACCCCAAUGAAAUACUUGAAAAAAGGGACUCUAUGUAUAGCAAUCAAUUAAAACAACAUGAUUUACCGCUCAUUAGGAAAAAAAAGUUCAAAUUUUAAUGCACAGUUCAUUUUCAGUUCAUGUUCUUUUUUUGGUAAUAUAAACAUAAGCCACUAUAAAUCAUCAUUAAAGCAGAUAAGAGCAAAAAGCAUACCAUUCUCUUGGAUAAUCAAAGCGAGCAAUUUUGGAAAUCAGCACAGCUAGCAUUUGAGCUACCUACGAAGAAACAUAUUCGUAAUAACAAAAUUAGCAAACACAGUAUCCAAACUAAAAAAAUCCAACCAAAUCAUAUGACGUGGAGACCUACUAUGCGUGAAUAACAAAAGCUGGUGAAAAGCCGACAAAUGAUUAUAGAAUGAAAUAUAAGACUUAAACGACACCUGGUUGUUUUCUUCUCUCAAGUGAGACAACAAUUUUUGUCUUAAAUGUACUUUCUCCUCAUUGCUUAUUCCCCUGAAAAGAAAUUCUUACAUUACAUUUUACACUAUAAUCAAUAAAAAUACAUCUCUUGUGCCAGCAGAGUCGCACAAAUUCUUACAAAUGAACCUUACAAAAAGUAUAAAAUGAUCGAUAGCUUACACAGAAUCGCGCCUAUUCCUCCAAUAACGGUUGAUACUAUUUUUGAAAUACACUGAAGCCAUCAAUCGUACAUCCACUUGAGAAGCUAAAUCCUUGGCAGUAAUCACUUCCUGCAUUUUAAUUUAAUUCAUUUCAAAAGUUGCUAAGCUUCACAAGAAACUAGAAUAAAAGAACCAAACUAAACUAAAACCCUAAAAAUGAAGGAGUCGGAGCACAGACCAUGAGACAAGAGCAGAAACCAGGUCUACUUUCCGACUGAGAAAGCGCCGCCUCAGCCGGUUUGCGAAUGCUUUCAUCGCGGCUCAUUGAAUUAGCGAGCAGCGUGUAUAUCGCAGGUAAAUCCGAAGCUGAGAGCGCCAUAGCUGUUGUUAAUCAAAGGCUCCUUUACUCACAGUCAGGGAGUAGUACAGAGAAGUACACUUGGACCGAGUUAGUGAGUUGGAUCGGACGAGUUUUUUUACUAAUGAGAAUGAUAUUUAUUAUUAUUAUUUUUUUUUUUUUUCCUUUGUGUGAUAAGAGAUUACAUGAAUCUUGAGGCUUUGUUAUUGUGAGAGUUUGUUAUGAUUGCGAUUUACCUGAAGGAAUAAAAUGAAAAAAAAUGAAAAUGGAAUAGAAGAUGGUCUUUGCUUGAGGUUUUGUCUGCCGUUAUUUAUACAUGGUGGUGUUCCUACACUAGCUUGGGAAGUGUCCCGGGGACUAUCUUGCAUGCGAAGAUAAGUAGGUUCUUUACCGUGCGCGCGCGAUCGAAUGGUAUCAAUUUUUUAUACGACUUAUGACCUUUCAAUGGUAUCCGUCCGAUGAUCAUUGUCUUUCUGUGAUGUUGACAUUUCGACAUUGAAAGUUGACCGAGAUUCCAACCAAAUCCUCGCUGCUCUUUAAGUCUUACCAAUCUCGGCCAAAGGCGCCAGCUGACAUACCGAUAGAUUUUACCAAUAAUGCUUGGGCGAGGGUGGUACUUUUCAUACGGAGAUUAUUAUGUUACGUAAUCAUAUAACAUAUAUGGUUAUAUAGUAACUAUUUGAUAAAAAUUUAAUAAUUAUAUAAAUAUAAAAUAAUAAAAUUAUAUUAUUUUCACAAACGUUGGAUGAAAUUCAACGGUUGUUACAUAAUCAUGUAACAUGUAACAUAACAAAAACUUUUUUAUAUUUUAUUUUUAUUUUUGGAAUUGUGUUUUUGAAUUUAUUGUUUUAAAAUGAAUAUUAGUUGUUUUGAUUUUUAUUUUGUGGAUUAAAAAAUGCAUUUAGUAGCAUGUUUGGAAAUCCAUAAUAUGAAAAUAAAAGUAAUAAAAAGGUAGAAUUGUUUGUGACAAUUGUUAUCAAUAAAUUGCAUUUUAUACGACAUUUUCUUACAAUUAAAUUUAUUUAAUUAUUGUAAAUCACUAUUUAAAGCAUAAUUAUUUUUAAAAAAUAAAAACAAAUUGUAUGUGUGUCAUUUCUAAGUUUCUAGAAAACAGUCUUUUAGUAUUUCAGUUUUCUUUUUAUGAAAUAUCUCAACCAAACAAAGUCUUUUUGUUGUUUUUAAUUUAUAAAAAAUAAAAAAUAACAAAUUUAAGGAAAGUUUUCUUUUUAUGAAAUAUCUCAACCAAACAAAGUUUUUUGUUGUUUUUAAUUUAUAAAAAAAUAGAAAAUAACAGAUCUGAGGAAAGAAAUGGAUAACGGCAUCUAAAUAUAACUUUUAACUCUUAAAGUCGAACUCAAGUGGAUAACCAAACAAAAAUGCUAAAAAUCACUUAGUCACGCCUCUUUGAGCCAAAUUUAAAAAAUAAAUUAAUCACCUUUAAAAGAUGAUCCAAAUAACUUGUUAAAUUUUUCAUUUUCAUUUCAAUUAAAUGUGUGAUAAAGUGGAUGGUAUUUUAAAUUGAAGGUCGUGUUAUGUUAAAUCAGUGUAAAUAAUAUACUUGGCCAACAUGAAUUGGACCUAUUCAUUAGGUGUCAUGAGUUUGCACACUAAUCAUACACAAAGACGGCUUGUUUAACUAAUUUACCUUGUACAGAUUUUUAAACCUACUUAACACAUGAUGUACAAACAAAUUCAUGUCAUAAACGAAUUAACAUGAUAACAGAUUAAGAUUACUUAAAAAGCUAUUUGGUAUUAUUCAAUCGAGACAUUGAUUUAUGUUUCAAUCAUAAAUCCAAGUUACAUGCUCAUGAUUCUUGGUCAUACAAAUAACAGAUUGUUGAUAACAUUUAAGAGUUUUUUUUCUUCUUUUUUUCAUGUACUAAUAUUAGAGAUUCCAACAUUUAAGUUUCAAUUUAAUAUGUAUUUAAGAUUUUUUCCUCUUUUUUUCUGUGUAAUAAUAUUAGGAAUCUUCGUGUUUAAGUCCCAACUUGAGCUCAAUAUUAUUUGUACUAAUUUAUUAAAUUAAUUUAUUAAAUGAUAUAUUUUAUAACUUAUAAAAUUACUUAAUUAUCAUCUAAUAAAUGAAUAACACAUCAGUUAAGAAUUAAAUUAGAACUUAAAUAUUAAAAUGUCUAACAUUUCUUUUUUUUUUUUUAUGAUGAAUGUUUACAUGCUUAGUUAGAGAUUUAUCGUGAUUUUAAAUUCAUACUUCGAUAGCAUUACUCAUGAUAUAUGUAUGUAUGUGUAUGUAUUGUGAUUUUAAGAAAUUUUGCAACAAUUAAAUGUGAGAUACACUCUCACUCUAUUAAAGAUAAUUUGCCCCAUCUUUUGCUUGAUAGAGUUCAUUCAAGUGAGAAAGCCCACUUAAAAAUGAUUUUCACAUGCCAUUAGGAAUAUAUUCUCUUAGAAGAACCUCUUCUGGUAAAAUAAAAAUAUAAUUUUUUUAAUAUAUGUUUUAAUGAUUAUUUGAUUAAGCAAAAAUAAAAAAUUCAAAUUAUUAAACUGUGAAUUACUAGGAGAAAACUAUGGUGCAACAAUGGUACCAUACCACCGUUGUACCUAGCCGUUGGAUUCUAAUGAAUUCAUUCAUUCAAGUGGAUCCAACAGCUGAAUGCAACGGUGGCAUGGUACCACCGUUGCACCGUAACCGGACCCAAAUUACUAACUGUCAUGAUAUUUGUGUGAAAUAUUAGAUUAUUAUUAUUUAUUUAUUUUAUUAGAGAAGGUGAAAUAUUGGAAUUUCGCUGUCAUAAAACAAAGCUCAAUCCAACGGCCACAUGCGGAACGUUCAUUUGGGGCAUAUUCAUACAUUUAAAGCCUCCUUUUGUUAGUCUAUAUAUUUGUGUAACAAAUUGUCUCUCAACUGUAGUAAAUAAAAGCUUGUAAAAACUUUGUUCGUACUUUAAGUACUUUUCUUCUGUAGGUUUUUUUUAUAACCAAUAACUUCAAUUUAAGGUAAAGCAUUUGAAUUGUUAUAGUAAAAAAUGAUAUAAUGAGUAAAUUUACCUAUUAUCUUGUGAACAAUUGCACGCGUGAUGUCAUUGUAUAGUAUAUUUCAAGUGCUAUUAAAAAUAUGGUUUUACAAGAUAUUAUCACAUGAUAGAAUUGUGAUAACAUGAGCAGUGUCUCGUAUUAUACUGUUAUUAUAACAAUAAUAAUAGAGAUUUUAAUAUUUGAGUUUCAACUCAAGUUCUGAUAUUAUGUGUCACUCAUUUAUUUAGUGAUAAAUUUAAACUUGUUUAUUAUUUUAUUUUACUAUUUAUUACUCAGUACUCAAAAGUUGCCUUUGCCAGUGGCAGUAGUAAUUUGCAUUUAGUAAAAUAAAUAUAUUAAUUUUCAUUGAUCUAAAAUUAUUCUUGAUUAUCUCAAAAAAUACCAGUAGUGUCCUCCUGAUUUGAUGCAUGGAGGAGGAGUGCAACCCUAUAAAAUGGAGGAGUCCAACCCCAUAAAAUGACUUUCUUAAAUAGAAUAAUGGUGAUGACGGAAAAAACUAAUCUUCAAUUUAUUUUUAUUUUUAAAACGUUAGUGUUUGUGAGUUUUGUAAAAAGAAAAUCUGAAGAAGUUGUUGGUAUUAAUUACUGUAAAAGAAUUUUAUUUAUUAAAAAUAUAUUUUUGACAUUAAGUGGAGUGUAAAAUGUAAAAAAAAAAGUUUUAACAGGAUUUGGGAGAGGUGACAGGUGACAUCAGUCCAACUCUGAAUAAAAUGACGUAAAAAGUGGGCCAGCUAGAGGAGAAAACACGGAAGAGCUUUGGGCCAUAUGUAGUCCAAUUCAUAGCCCAAAAUGAAUUGGAUCAACAAAGGCAAGAACGUGUAAAGCAGACAGGUGGGCGGCGAUGAUUUCCCAGAAUUGUACACAUAAAAUCUAGGGGUGGGCACGGUUCGGUUCGAUUCAGUUCGGUUCAAAAUUAAGUAGAACCGAUUUAAAUCGGUUAUUUUAUAAAAAUAACUGCAUAAGAACCGAACUAAAAAAGAACCGAACUCAAACGGUUCUUUUCGGUUCGGUUUGGUUUUUUCGGUUCUGGACCUAUUGGGCCUAUUUUGAAUUUUCAAAUUUUUAACCCAUUAAACUUCAUAAAUGUAAUAAUUUUUUUCAACAAGUUCAUCCUAAUUUCAUUAUAAAUAUUAACAAUAAAUACAAAGUAUUCAAAACACAUUUUAUCAAUAAUAUCUUAUUAACUAUUAAUAAAUAAUUAAAUAAACAAUCUAUAUAAUAAGAUGCUAGUUUUAAAAAAAAUAAAGAAAACUUACUGGUAAGCAACAUCAAUCAACUAUCAUUUACUCUUCAGCUACUUGCUGUUGUUCUUAAGAUUGCAUUGGCCUCAAAAAUUCUUCAAGAAAUUGAAAUUUACAAAAUUUAUGAAAUUGUUUUAUAUUUGAUUUUAGGAUUUAUUUUGGGAAAUAAAAAUUUACGAAAUUGUAACACUAACAUAUAUAUAUAUACUCUGAUUGUGUGUAUGCAAGUUUAUGUUAGUUAUCUUAUAUAAUUAGUUAAAAAUUAACACAUAUUUAAUUUAAUAAAAUUUAGUAGUGUCCUCCUGAUUUGAUGCAUGGAGGAGGAGUGCAACCCUAUAAAAUGGAGGAGUCCAACCCCAUAAAAUGACUUUCUUAAAUAGAAUAAUGGUGAUGACGGAAAAAACUAAUCUUCAAUUUAUUUUUAUUUUUAAAACGUUAGUGUUUGUGAGUUUUGUAAAAAGAAAAUCUGAAGAAGUUGUUGGUAUUAAUUACUGUAAAAGAAUUUUAUUUAUUAAAAAUAUAUUUUUGACAUUAAGUGGAGUGUAAAAUGUAAAAAAAAAAGUUUUAACAGGAUUUGGGAGAGGUGACAGGUGACAUCAGUCCAACUCUGAAUAAAAUGACGUAAAAAGUGGGCCAGCUAGAGGAGAAAACACGGAAGAGCUUUGGGCCAUAUGUAGUCCAAUUCAUAGCCCAAAAUGAAUUGGAUCAACAAAGGCAAGAACGUGUAAAGCAGACAGGUGGGCGGCGAUGAUUUCCCAGAAUUGUACACAUAAAAUCUAGGGGUGGGCACGGUUCGGUUCGAUUCAGUUCGGUUCAAAAUUAAGUAGAACCGAUUUAAAUCGGUUAUUUUAUAAAAAUAACUGCAUAAGAACCGAACUAAAAAAGAACCGAACUCAAACGGUUCUUUUCGGUUCGGUUUGGUUUUUUCGGUUCUGGACCUAUUGGGCCUAUUUUGAAUUUUCAAAUUUUUAACCCAUUAAACUUCAUAAAUGUAAUAAUUUUUUUCAACAAGUUCAUCCUAAUUUCAUUAUAAAUAUUAACAAUAAAUACAAAGUAUUCAAAACACAUUUUAUCAAUAAUAUCUUAUUAACUAUUAAUAAAUAAUUAAAUAAACAAUCUAUAUAAUAAGAUGCUAGUUUUAAAAAAAAUAAAGAAAACUUACUGGUAAGCAACAUCAAUCAACUAUCAUUUACUCUUCAGCUACUUGCUGUUGUUCUUAAGAUUGCAUUGGCCUCAAAAAUUCUUCAAGAAAUUGAAAUUUACAAAAUUUAUGAAAUUGUUUUAUAUUUGAUUUUAGGAUUUAUUUUGGGAAAUAAAAAUUUACGAAAUUGUAACACUAACAUAUAUAUAUAUACUCUGAUUGUGUGUAUGCAAGUUUAUGUUAGUUAUCUUAUAUAAUUAGUUAAAAAUUAACACAUAUUUAAUUUAAUAAAAUUUAAAAAUAAUUCGAUUUUUCGGUUCGGUUUUUCGGUUAAGUUAAAUGAACCGAAUACCGAACCGACAUUUCAAUUUUUUUAUAAAUUAUACCGUUCAGUUUUUUUAAAAAAAAAUCGUACCGAAUUAAAAAAAAUCGUCGGUUCGGUCGGUUCGAUUUUUUUAAGACUACAAUUUUUUUCCCACCCCUAAUAAAAUCUGUUUGCUAAAAUCCUAUUGGUCGGUGUGCGUGGGAUAUCCUGAUGGUUCCACGUCACCCAACGGGAUGUAGAUCCAGAAGUAUCUGGACUUUCUCGCCCUGGGAACCUAUAAAAACAGCCUCUCUUUGAUUUCAAAUCUACCCCGUCGCUAUUGUUAUUAAUUGUGAUCUUUUUCAUAACGCACUUCACUCCGUUCAAUAAUAAACCUCUAAAAUCUGUAGUGAGAUGCAAGGUGCAAAAAUGAAGGUUCGUUUCGCACUAUCGAUUUUUCUGUUUUCAACGCUUUUGAUCUUCAACGCGAAAGCCAAAACCGUCGAUCCGUACAAGGUAAUUAUUUUUUUUUUUUCUUUUUUUUUCCACUUGCUUUUUUUGCCUUUGGCUGUUUAAGUUUCUUUAAUGCGCAUAAUUGUCCAGUUUUAAUGUUUUUAUGAUAUGAUUUUUUUUUUUUAUAAUUUUGGUGGCAGUUUGUUUUCACAAUGCAUUACUGUAUAUAUGAUUUUCAUAACAACAGUUCCUCAGUUUUGAGAGAAAAAUUGCAAAUUUGAUGAUCUGGUUGAAAGCUAAGCUCAGUGGAAUUUGUUGUUAUUUAAUAUUUGCUUUAGAAAAAUCACAAAUUGUUUUCAUUGGAGCUAAUGUCGGCUGUUGAUGUUAAGUGACUUGGUGCUGUGAAAAUUUGGCUGAAACAACAUGAAAUUGUCACAUAAUUGGCAGUUAAUUGUCAUCUCUAGCUCUAAAUUGAACUGGAGAAUAGUUGUAUGGAAAUUUAAUUCAAAAUCAAUGAACAAAUAUUUUCUCUGUUGUUUUCUGUUCAAGAGGAUGGCAUUAUUUAGUUUAACUUUCAUUUAAUCGGAUAGCUUACUUACGAAUAAGAUUCAUUAUUUAGUUUAACUCUCAUUUCAUCGGAUAGCUUACUUACGAAUAAGAUUCAUUAUCAGGUUCUUGGUGUUGAGCGGAAUGCGAGCCAGCGUGAGAUUCAAAAAGCUUUCCACAAGUAUGUUAUUAUUAUGUCCCUAAUUCAUUGAAUUAUUCGAUCAUUUUGCAUUCCUUGUGUCUCACUUUCUGUCAUGGCAUAAGAGAAACUUAAAGGAUCCUACUUGAUAUAUAGAGUUUAUGAUUGAUAAUGUGAUUAGAAUUAGCAAUGGAUGAGAUUGAGCUAUCAAAUUAUUGCUUUAUUUAAAUCUGGGAGACCUGAUGAAGAGUAGGCCACAUGAUACUGACCAAUUGUGGUACUCAAGAAUGGCUUGAUUUUCUGUUAAUAGCAGGGCAGUGCUGCUAUGUGGUUGUGAGCAGUAUACACUUCUUGUGUAUGCUUAUGGUUGUAUAUUUGUAAUGAUAUAGUAUUGAUAUUUUUUAUCUGUUUUUCUAUUUAAACUUUUUUGACCUAUAAUUGGCAUUGUUAAACUAAUAAAUACAGAUUUGACAAUUUACAUUGUAGUUGGUAACUUUGCCAUAUUGAAUGAAGUGCAUUUGACUCAUUUUGGUGCUGGUGAAUUACUUUAAUUUUUCAUGUUUGUUCUAUAUUGAUUUCUAAAUAAUUUGUAAUUCCGGUCGAUUAAUGGGAUUGUGUUAGAUUCUUAACGUUGUUGAAUUCCUAUGUAGAUAAACCUAUCUUUAGUUGCAAUCAUGAUAUAACACAAUAUAGUAAACACAUAUGAAAACACCUCAGAAAAUUGCUUUGCUAUCUUGUUACUAAUGGUUUCUUUGAAUCUCUCUUGUAGGCUCUCUCUUCAAUAUCACCCGGACAAGAACAAAAAUAAGGCCGCUCAGGAGAAGUUCGCUGAGAUUAAUAAUGGUAAAAAAAAUAAAAAGCACUUCUUUUUUUGUUUGUUUUAAGAUGCAGGCUUCUUAGUAUUCAAAUUCAUGAAGUUGAAUCGACAAACUUUCAACCAUCAGAUAGAUGAAUGAUUUAUUGUGAUUUUUUUAACCUUUGUUCUUGUUUUCAAACUGUUCACUGUAAACAAUGUUGAUUUAUGUCUUCUUGUUUCAUCAGCAUAUGAUAUUUUAUCUGAUGAAGAGAAGAGGAAAAAAUAUGAUUUGUAUGGGGAUGAGAAGGGCAGUCCUGGAUUUGAUGCUGGGCAUCCUGGGAAUCAAGGUGGGUAUACAUACUUCACAAGUGGUGGACCGGGACAAAGCCAGUUUACCUCUAGACCUGGUGAAUGGCAGAAUAUGGGGGGGCAGGGAAGUUCCCGGAGCUUUUCGUUUUCCUUUGGCGGUACUGGUGGUUCAAGUUCAUUUGGUUUUGGUCUAGAUGAUAUCUUCUCUGACUUUUUUGGCAGUAGUUUUGGAGGAGGACGCCAAUUUGGUGGUUUUAGUGGUUCAACUGGUUCUCAGUCUCAAUCUAGGAGUUCCUCUGGAAACAUCAGAGCCUUAAAUUUACAGGUCUUCAAGAAAGAAAUAGUGGAGAAAGGAAUGACUUGGCUUUUGUUUUUUUAUUCACCCUCCUCGAACAGGGAUGGCUAUGAAUCUGUGAUUGAGGAAGUUGCCAACUCAAUGGAAGGAGCUUUAAAGGUACUUAACUACUGGUCCAUUUUGGUGUGGUCUCCCUAUUUGAUCUUCUGUUGAUCGUUUCAAAUCUUACGAUCCUUUUGCUGUGACAGGUGGGAAGCAUAAACUGUGAAACAGAAGCAUCUUUGUGUAAGGAAUUAGGUGUUCAUCGCCCCAGAUCCCCGAGGAUUUUUGCGUAUUCAUAUAAAGCUGGUGACAAGGGUUCUUUAGUUGAGUACAAUGAGCAUUUGGUUGCAAAGAAUUUAAAAAGCUUUUGUCGAGACCACCUUCCUAGAUUUUCAAAACGGAUCAGCCUCAAUCGUAUUGAGUUUACUUUUGAUGCUAAGGCAAGAUUGCCAAGCGUGUUGCUUCUUUCCACCAAAAAGGAGACGCCCAUCAUUUGGCGUGUUCUCAGUGGCAUGUAUCAUGAACGAUUGAAUUUCUAUGACACAGAGGUAUAUUAUGGUGCUUACUGACUGGGUUUACUCUAGGAAACCCUCCUGUUUAAAAAUGUUUUUUGCCUUGUCAUUCUGAAAUCUUGGAAUUAUUGGAUUCUUUGUUUCUUCAAGGAAAAUAACUUGGUUCUUUCCUACUCUUUAUGAAUGAAUUUAUAAUUGCUAUUGUUAUGUUUAUCUAGGUUCAUGAUGUUUCUGAUCCAGCAGUAAAGAAGCUAGGAGUCGAUGCCCUUCCAGCUAUUGUUGGCUGGUUAUCAAAUGGGGAGAAAGAUGUUCUAAAAACAGGGAUAUCAGUGAAAGAUCAGAAAUCGUCAAUUCAUGAGCUCAGUAAAUUACUUGAUGGUUUUGAAAAAGAGAACAAAAAGGCAGCUUCCGCACGGGCUAGCAAAUCACAUAGUGAUUCAGCGGAGGAGCAGAUACCUCUGUUGACGCGCUCAAAUUUUGAUACUAUAUGUGGGGAGGCAAUUCCUGUUUGCAUUAUAGGUGCUUUCAGGUCUUCGAAUGCAAGGGGGAAGCUGGAAUCCAUAGUAUUAGAUGUAAGUAAUAUCAUCUCUAGUUGAUGAAUUUUUGCAGAAGUUGGAAAUCAGAAGCAGAAUUAUUGUUAUACUUUAUUUUGGAGAUGAACAUGGAGGAUGGUCAUGUUUCUUAAGCAUCAGUCAGAAUCUUCAUAUGUCAUUACUUUUUUAUUAUUUUAUUACAACAAUUGCAUGAGGGGGGAAUCCUAAAGAGUUAAAAGAAAUUCAAGUGCACUAGUUGACGCUUAAGAAAUUAAGUGCUGUAGGACUUCUUAAUUGGUAAAAUACAUGCAAUUCCAGAUUAUUGUUGUGCCAUUGGUUAGAUUUCUUGUGAUAGCAUAAGAAUUUUCAGGGUUGGGGGAAACAAAGGGAAAAAUAAAUAAUAAAAUACAUCCAUUUUUUAGUGGGUUUGGGUUGAGGUUUGUUUUAUGUAUUUUGUUCUCUUAACUACAAAGUCAUGCCCAGUUGAAAAAUUAAGCAUCUGCUCUGUAAACAACCUCGCUUACCAAAUUUGCAAAUUGAUCCAUAACCUUAGUUGCUCCUUAAUUUAAAGGCUUAUCUGAUAGUGUCUACGUGUUUAUGGGAGUUAUCUUUCUUCAGGAAUAUUCUUGAAAUUUUCCUGCGUUUACAUCUUAAAAGUUUGAAAUUCGAUUCACCGACUCUCAUUGUUACAUGCUUUGCACUUUCAGGUCUCUCAGAAGUCACUGUCUCGGCAUCAGUACUCUGCCUCUGGCUCUAGAAAUUCCAUAACUUACGCUCUCUUGGAUGCCGCCAAGCAGUCAUCAUUCCUAAGCGCAUUUGACAAAUCAGGAUUCAAAUCAUUGGGUAAAUUCUUGGUAGCCUAUAAACCCAAGAGGGGAAAGUUUGCAGUUUUUGCAGGUGAAAUGACCCCAGAGGAAGUUGAGAGAUUCAUUGGUUCUGUUCUUAAUGGAGAUGUACAAUUUUCUAAGACACGGCAUAAGCCUUUGAUCAAGUGAGAGAAACAUAAAUGGAUUGUGUUAACGGAAUGUGGUUUAUGAAUGUACAUAGCAGAGAGACUAGAAAGAAAUAUCGAUACAAAUUUUUUAUCUUCUAAACCUUGGCAAUGGUGCAAGUAUCUGGUGGUUUUGAAGGAGAUGCUACCAGGGUUAAUCAAGUGUGUGUUUUAGAAAUUUGAGUAACCGAAAAUUCAACGCAUUGGAGAAUUUUUCCGUGGAACAAUAGAUUUUUCUCAGAUGCACUUGCAUGGCUGUAAGGACUUUGUAAUAUUAUUCAUUUUUCUCUGGUUGAAGGAAAAUUUUUAAUUUCCUUUUUCCGUGUAAAGAGCAGUAGGCAGUUGCUGUGGGGUGGGGGGGAUAUUAUCAAGGGUGAUUGGGUGAUUCCUCUAUAUCUCCAUCCAAAGCUGAAGCCAACUGUACCUACUUAAUUACUUACAGUUUCCCCAAAGUAGUCAAUUUUGAUUUUUGAUUUAGGAAAAAUGAAGAUAUAUUUAAGAUUGUUAGUAAAAUCUGUGUUCGGUGUGAGCUACAUGACAUGUAUUUGUGUGACAUAUAAUAUAUUUAUUUAAGGUGAUGUCUUUAAUUUUUGGGACCUGAUUGACAUAUUUCCUCAAGGUUUACUAAUAUUUACAUGUUUAGUAUUUUAUCUUAAGUCUAUUAAUAUUUAUAAUCCGCCCGCAUUAGUUGAGAGAUAUGACUACUUAAUUUUUAAUUAAAAAUAAAUAAUAAUAAAUUUUCAAGUGGCGUCAUCAUAGGAUCUGUACUCAUUGUAUUUCUAAUAAACAGGGAAAAUUAUCAUUUGUCCAUCCGUCCAAAGUUUUAUUAAUGUUUGAACUUUAAAAAAUUUGAAUUAGUCCUGCAAUCUACUCAAAAUUUACAAAUUAUAUAAAUUUUCACCUUUCCAGUUUCCAUUACUAGUGUUUGAUCAUUUUAUCUCUAAGGUGCAAUUUAAGAAUGGAUGGAAAAUUGAUUUUUUUGCAAUCAUUGGGUGAAUUGUUGCUUUCUGUAUGUGAUGUUAGCAUGUUAAUAUCCAAAUUAUUCUCCGGACAUCAUCUAAAGUUAACGCCUGUUAACUCUGUAAGGUAAAAAAGUAAUACAAUUUAUAAAUAAUGGCUGAACUGUUGAAUGAAUUCAGAAUAUCCAAUAUUUUUUAAUAUUGACGAAAUAUCGAGUGAAUGAAUUAUAUAUUUUUUUCCUACAAGAUUGAAUAAAAAUUUGUAAAAAUAGUCAAGAGUAACCCUACUAGCACUCCUCUAUUUUUCUUAUGAAACCACCUUUUGUUAUGUGCUUAUUAUUUUAUCCUUUGUGUUUUAAUUUGUAUUAAAUCUAAAAUCUUGCUAAUUAAAUCUAAAUAUGAUUUUUCUCUCCACCUCUUUCUCCAUUAAAACCUUUUAAAAUUUAUUUUUUUGAAAAAAAAGUUAAUUGUAAAAGAAUAAGAAUUUGAUCUAAACUAUUUUUUUCACUUUAUUUUCAUAUAAAUCAUAUUUUUUGAAAAUUUUCAUAAAUUACUAAUUUUGUUAGGAUGUUAGGAAACGAUCAGCAUUGUGCGUAUCAUAUUUAUAUUUGAAAUGGAAUGUGAUAAGUGAAAAAGCAUAAACCUAAAAUAAAUGAAAGUUAGUAAUAAUAAAUUAAACUUAUGGGACUCAAAAUAUUGGGUUGCGAUCAACAAUUUUUUGCUACAAAAAGAAGAAACUUGAAUGAUGGGGGGUUGAAGACAGAAAACUGAAAGGGGUUUGCAAUUAAAUAGAGAGACUAGGGUUUAUUGAAGAAAAAACAAACAAAGACUCUGAAAAAUUAAAGUGGAUAAAAACAGAAGAGCGGGUUCAAAGGGAUAAUGCAGCGGUGCUAAUAGCACUACUCAAUAAUCAAUCCAUAUUAUCUCUAAACCUUUAAUAAAACAGAAACCCAAAAUCAACUGAACUGAAAACCCGGCCCAUGAUUAGUACAAUCUGGUGGUGUUAGCGUUUGGCGACGGGUUUUUUAAAAUAAAAGAGACUAAAAGCAAAGCACUGCGCCACCGCCAGCCAACGCGCUGCUUUAGCUUCUGGAAAGUGUCGUUUUAGUAGGUCUUGGUCAAGUAAGCUUCUUCUAUGUCCAUUUUUUAUUUAAGCUUAGUUGCUGUGUACUGUUUUCAUUAUACUCUUUGUAUAUUGAUGUGGGUAUUAGCUGCUAAGCUGUUUCCAUUCAGACAGUACAUCAAACAUGUUCAGUUAAUACCUUCCCGUUCGGUUUCAGCCCUCGCCCAUUUGAGGCUAAUCUGUUCAGAUUCUGAAUUAGAAGAGUCUAGUGUGAAUAACGAGCAUAAUGAUGAAAUUAAAUGUAGCUUUUCUUAUUUAAAUACAAGGGAGGUAGUUGAAAAGUUGUAUAGUCUUAGAAAAGAACCCAAAAUUGCAUUAUCAUUCUUUGAACAGUUAAAAAGGAGUGGGUUUAGUCAUAAUCUUUGUACUUAUGCAGCGAUAGUGAGAAUAUUGUGUUGUUGUGGUUGGCAAAAGAAGUUGGAGUCUAUGUUAUUGGAACUUGUUAGGAAAAAGACUGAUGCAAAUUUUGAGGCUACUGAUUUGAUUGAAGCGCUUUGUGGAGAAGGGUCAACUUUGCUGACACGACUUUCGGAUGCAAUGAUUAAGGCUUAUGUUAGUGUGGGAAUGUUUGAUGAGGGUAUAGAUAUAUUAUUUCAAAUUAAUCGGCGAGGAUUUGUUUGGUCAAUAUGUUCAUGUAACUAUUUCAUGAACCAGUUAGUUGAGUGUGGGAAAGUUGAUAUGGCUUUGGCUGUUUACCAGCAUUUGAAGAGGCUGGGGUUGAGUUUGAAUGAAUACACAUAUGUUAUUGUAAUUAAGGCCCUUUGUAAGAAGGGUAGUAUGCAAGAAGCAGUUGAGGUGUUUCUGGAGAUGGAAAAAGCAGGGGUAACCCCAAAUGCUUUUGCUUACUCGACUUGUAUUGAAGGGCUUUGUAUGAAUGGGAUGCUGGAUUUGGGUUAUGAACUGCUCUUGAAAUGGGAAGAGGCAGACAUUCCUUUGAGUGCCUUUGCUUACAUUGUUGUGAUACGUGGGUUUUGUGAUCAGAAUAAGCUGGAAAAAGCUGAAUGUGUGUUGCUUCACAUGGAAAAACAAGGGGUUGUUCCUGAUGUGUAUGCAUACAGUGCUUUGAUUUCUGGGUACUGCAAAUUUGGGAAGAUAAAUAAAGCUUUGCCUCUUCACCACGAAAUGACAUCAAAGGGUAUUAAAACAAAUUGCGGGGUAUUGAGUGUGAUUUUAAAAGGCUUAUGUCGAAAUGGCAUGGCUUCCGCAGCUAUAAAACAAUUUUUGGAGUUCAAAGAUAUGGGGUUUUUCCUUGACAAGGUUUGUUAUGAUAUAAUAGUGGACUCUUUAUGCAAACUUGGAGAAGUAGAAAAGGCAAUGAUACUGUUCAAGGAGAUGAAGGAUAGGCAGAUAGUUCCAGAUGUUGUCAACUACACAACUAUGAUUUGUGGUUACUGUUUUCAAGGUAAGCUUGGUGAUGCUCUGGAUUUAUUCAAGGAAAUGAAGGAGAUGGGACAUAAACCUGAUACUAUUACUUAUAACAUACUUGCUGGUGCGUUUGCUCAAUAUGGCGCUGUGCAAAAGGCGUUUGAUCUUUUGAAUUAUAUGAAGAGACAUGGUUUGGAACCUAAUUUUGUUACACACAACAUGAUUAUUGAAGGUUUGUGCAUGGGAGGUAGGGUGGAGGAAGCUGAAGCAUUUUUAGACGGUUUAAAAGGGAAGUGUUUAGAGAACUACAGUGCCAUGAUUAAUGGUUACUGUAAAACAGGUCAUACAAAAGAGGCCUUUCAACUAUUUAUGAGGCUGUCUAACCAAGGAGUCUUAGUGAAAAAAAGCUCAUGUAAUAAACUACUUACUAAUCUUCUUAUCCUACGUGAUAACAACAAUGCUCUCAAGUUGUUUAAGACAAUGAUAACUCUGAAUGCUGAACCCAGCAAAAGUAUGUAUGAUAAGCUCAUAGGUGCAUUAUGUCAGGCGGAAGAAAUGGAACAGGCACAAUUAGUGUUUGAUGUUUUAGUUGACAAAGGGUUAACUCCUCAUCUCAUUACCUACACAAUGAUGAUACAUGGUUAUUGCAAAAUAAAUUGUUUGCGUGAAGCUCGUGAUGUUUUCAAUGAUAUGAAGCAGAGAGGGAUCACUCCUGAUGUUGUAACUUAUACAGUUUUAUUUGAUGCUCAUUCAAAAAUAAAUCUAAAAGGUUCUUCUUCCUCGCCAGAUGCCUUGCAAUGUAAAGAAGAUGUGGUGGAUGCUUCAGUUUUUUGGAACGAGAUGAAGGAAAUGGGAAUAAGACCUGAUGUUAUAAGUUACACUGUUUUGAUUGCAAAGCUGUGCAACACACAAAACCUUGAAGAUGGUAUUACAGUCUUCAAUGAAAUAAGUGAUAGAGGACUGGAACCUGAUACUGUCACAUACACAGCCCUUUUAUGUGGCUACCUGGCAAAGGGAGAUCUAGAUAGGGCUAUAGCCCUUGUUGAUGAAAUGUCAGUCAAGGGGAUACAAGGAGAUGAUUACACCAAGUCUUCAUUGGAACGUGGCAUAGAGAAGGCCAGGAUAUUGCAAUAUCGGCAUUAAGCUGUAUGUUCAGUCUACGUGGGUAGAUGGACCAAACUCAUCUGCUGAAUCAGGUGCUUUAACAUAACAGAAUUUGUAUCUGCCAUUAAAUAGAAACACUUAGUGACAUUAAUUAUAGUGAGACCUUCAAGCACCAAGAUUUUCACCUUAAAGGCUCUUUUCAGAUUCAUUUGCACACUGGUCUAUUUUCUUAUUGGAUUCUGCUUUCAACUUAACAGAAUUCAACUUUUAAAAAAUCUUUAUUAGUUUCUUAAAAGGGCUAGCAAUAAAGCAAAAUAGCAUACUUAUUUGGCUACGAGGAUAGUUGUGUUUCCCUUCUGUAUAGUAAACUUACUGUUGGUGUCCUAGAUAAUGAACUUUAAAAAGUACUUUACAGCGUGAUUAUGCUUCAAAUAUGCCAUUGUUUAUGCUUAGUGAUUUACGCUGAUAGUAAAUGCUAUUUUUUAAAAUGCAGACCUCAGAUAACAAUUGCAACAGCAAUAAUAUUCAGUCAUCUGUUCUUCCUUCUGCAGUCGCUUGUAAGGAAUAAUAGGUAGGUGAGUUAUCUUCUUGAGCUAUAUUUAAGUGUUGUUUUUCUUAUCAGAGCCCGGUGGCAUUAGUGCCAUAACAUUAUUUAAUAUGAGUUAUUGAUAUAUGGUAGGAAACAAAGAAGGCUUUGGAUGUCAAAACCUACCCUGUCCAUGGUUUUGGGGCACUCUGGUAUUGAGUAGUUUCCCUGAAAUCUCUGUUUUUCAUCAUACACUGGCUUUCUAUACCUCUUCCAUUAUGUAGAUAGAAUACUGAAACUGCUGAAAUAUUGUUAUUGCAUAAAAAGGCCAAAAAAAAAAAAACCUAUGAAACUGUUUGCAGCAAGUUGGGCUUUUUGCAGUGACCACCUCAGAGAUGUGAAGCUUGUUUGCAUAAUCGUGAAGUACCAGUGUUAGGACUGCUUUGGCUGACUGGAUGUUUUCAUAAAUGCUGGGCAUGAAGUAGUAUCCUAAGAUGAGAGUUUAUCGCGAAAAUGAGGGUUUGGUUGUAUGUAAGUGUGGGUUCAGUUUUGUGUUUGUUGAUGAGAGCAUAGAUUGAGAAAUUAGUCAAUUACUUUUAUUGAAGCUUUUAUUAUCUACAAUGAGGAACUACUUAAAAUAGUUUAAUUAGUAUUUACGUCUGAUGUAGGAAGUAAAAUUGAGUUUUAGAAUGUCAUUAUGCUGAAAAAAAUUGACUGCUGGUGUUAGGAACUAUUAUUAGUUUUCUUAUAACCCAAUAAAAGUAACCGUGGACUAUUAAGAAAAAGCUUCAAUUGGAAAUUUGAUAUCAUGAUUUACCAUUUUUAAAAUUAAUACUGUUAUUAUUUAGUAUUUCUUAGUUUCUUCAAUAUCUUGGAUUUCAGUGUUGAUGCUGGACCUGGACUCUUGUCUCUUGCAGAAGUUCCCGACGGAUCACUGCAGCAUGGAGUUUUCAAGGGCCGUUGAUAAAUGCUUCAUCUAGCUGUGAAGUUAUUCAAUGGCAAAUAGUUGUGGACUGGAACCUUAAAGCCUGCACCAGCGUAACCAGUUUCUGAACACCCAGUAGCUGACAAUUAUUGGUGGACUCCAAGAAUCGGCCAAAGUCGGUGUAAUGACUGGGGAAGUGCAGAGUUGGAACUGCUACAAUAGAUGGUAAAUGCCUAUGGCAAAUGACGAGGCCUCUACUACGCUUCCCUGAGAGUACUGGUUCGAUAUCUUUCGGCUUCCAACCUCGUAAAAAAAUGAACGGCAAGGAGUUCUCUUUGUCAUAAACACUGUAGCUAGUGGGGACAUAAUAUAAUAAAUUACAAAUAUUAAUGUAAAAAGUAUAUUAAUUUGUUAUUUUGAGCUUUUUAUAACUUAAUUUAUUUUUUAUUUAUAAAUUAAAAAGACUUAGUCUCUUAAUCAAGUUAAAUCUACGUGCCCUUUAUAUUUUUGAGUUCAUAUUCAGAUUUAAUUUAUACGAAUUGAGUUUUUAUAAACUCUAAUAUGAAUUGUAUCGAAUCAAAACACAUUUCAUAAUAAUACUUUGAUGAUCCUUUUCUCCCUUUCUAAACAAAUAGUUCAUGAGGAAAUCAGUAUCAAUGAAUCUUGAGCCCUUUUAAGAAUUAGUGGUAAACCAUUAAAAUUCUCGAAAAUGACCAAUGAAAGCACAUAUCCUAGAACUUUCGAAUUUUUUCGGAGCACUUUCCAUUUUAUAUUUCACAUUUCCUAUCGGGUGUUACACGUAUGUGGGUCCCGAUGUAAUACAAUUUAUACCCACCCACGAGAUCGUGAGGGGGGAAUCCGACAGAGAUCUCGUUUGGUUUGGGUUUAGAUCAUGAAUCCAUAAUCGACACGUGAUUUCAUUGUAAGAGCAUCACCGUCAACAUCGCGGGAAGUGGAAACACCUUUAUUAUUAUUUUAACACCAUCCGAUUUGACCUUUUUCCCCUAGGCUAGCGGCGUGAUGUGUGCUAUUUGAAAUUCGACCACCUCUUUGGCUCUUACUUUCUAGUCCUUUGCGCUUGUGAUUACAUUUGAGAGAGCUUUGCUGCCACGCAUUACCGAGAAAAUGUUAAAUAAACUAAUCCAAAAAAAUAAAAUAAAAUCAAUUUUCAAUUAGGGUGUUCCGGUCCGUCUAAGCUUACAGUAGUUUUAUUUGAAAGCGGGACACGAGGGUUGAAACUUGAAUAUGGUUAUCUCUAGAAGUUAAGUUUUUGAAAUAUUCUAUGGCGAAACAAAGAAAAAAAAAACUGACAAUAUCAAACAAGACUGCUACAUGUCGUUACGCAUUGGACCUGGUUGGUUACUAUUACAGGCAACGUCCCAGAAAAAUUAACCUCAGACCACCUGCUUUGACCCGAACGCACUAGCCCCUGCUCGAGUAUUUCCACCUACUUUGUAAUGUUAUCACCGAUAAGCAACGAACAUAACUGAAAAUGGAUGGCUCAAAGACUUUGAGCAAGUGCCUCAUAAGUUAGAUUUACCCACGGAUUGUCGAAUUCACCCGGUGUUUCAUAUUUCCUUACUCAAACCUUAUGUGGGAAACUCCUCCAUUGACGUUUAUUCACAGCCUCCAGGAAGUGUGGAUGGAUAACAAGCCCCUUUCACUACCAAUUGCUAUAUGUGCUGAGCGAAAGAUACUUCGACAAGGUAAAGAAAUUCUACAAAUUUUGGUGCAAUGGUCUGAUAGCUCACUAGAAAAUUCAACUUGGGUUUACUUUGAGGAAUUUCGUAAACUCUAUCCUUGAGGACAAGGUACGCUUUCAAGGAAUGGGGAAUGAUACGACUUGGCCCAUUGCUGUGAAUCAGAUCGAGCUCAAGGAGAUAACAAGGGAAGAACCCAACCUACAAAAAUGGAAGAAACCCAACCCUUGAAUGAGACUCAAGCUAAAGAGCAGCUCAAGACAGGUCCAGCUCGAGCAAGAAAGAAACCAGGAUGGCUCAAAGACUUUGUUAUUUGAAGAAAGUUCAAGAAUAGUACUUUUAACUUCAAUAUUUGAAGAAAGAAACCAGGAUGGCUCGAGCAAGAAAGAAACCAGGAUAGCGUCAAUUUAAUAUUAAUAUUUUUUCCUUACAAGGUAAAAUGCCAAAUUUCCAAAAUAGUACUUUUAACUUCAAUUUUUUUUUUUAUUUUAUAAGAAAUUUCUUAUUUUAUAAGAAAUUUCUUUGUUUCUAAAUACUUUUAACUUCAAUUUUUUUUUUUAUUUUAUAAGAAAUUUCUUUGUUUCUAAAUUAUGUAUGAAAACUAAUUUAUUAGCAUGAUUAUCCAUCAUCAAUUAAACGAACAAAAUAUAUUUAUGCCAAAUGAUGAUUCGCUAGUCUUGUGAGAGAUAAUGAAAGCGGGUCACUACAACUUGUAGUUGGUUCCAUGAUUUUUUUUUUCUUCCAAUCUUGGCGUUUGGUAACCAUUUUCCGUUGACUCCUAUUAAUGUAAAAAUAUUUACCGUUGACUCCUGUAUUGAAUAUAUAAUAAACACAAGUAGAUUUGAGAUACCAUGAAUCCAUACAACAAUUUAAUAAUUCAUUCAUGAAUAUAUUCGGGUUGAAAACUAACAAAUAAGUGGAAAUCUUUUAACAUAAAAUUCACAUGUCAUAUUUUCAUUAGAUGAUUUUAUUAUCUAGUAUAUAUACUUUGGAUUUAAGAAAAAUAUCCGUAUUAUUUACUCUAAAGAACAUCAUGAAAAGACUUUUCAAAUAAUAUUGUUAAAGAGAAAAGAGUACUAUCUCAUUUAAAUAAUUUUUAUUUAAAAAGUUUUUGCAGGCUUCAUUUAAUAUUAUAUUUUUCUAUCUUCUUAUUCUUGAAGAGAGAUAAAGUGUUAUAAUAUAUUGCUAUUAUUUUGGUAGAGAAAUUUUUUUUAUAAAUAUAAUAUAAACUUAUUUUUAUUAGAGUAGUCUUUUAAGAGAUGAUUUAUUUUUUACACUUUUUUGUUUGCCGCAUAAGUAAGCAAAUAAAUAUUUAGAGAAUUAAAUUAAAAGACUCUUGGUUCUGCUCUAAACUUUUUAAAAUAUGUCUAAACGCGACACUGUUUUUAUAAGUUAUUAUAAUGUUAACUUUAUUAAUUAUUUUACUAUUUCAUCCUUUGUCUUCAAGUUCGGAAACAUAAAUAAAAUAAAAUAACUUUUAGUAAACAGAAUUAUUAUUAAAAGUGUAAAAUUAAAAAAAAGUGAAAUUAAAAUUUGUAACAAAUAAAUAUUAGUAAAAAAAAUACAAAAACAAUCAUUUUCAAAUUUCUCAUCUCAUCCGUCUCAUGGUAAACAAUACAAGAACAAUCAUCCUCAACUUAUUAUAAUUUAUAAUAUUUCCAUUUAUUUUAUAUAGUAAUUGUGUAAUUGUAAAAGAAUAGCUUCUCUCUUUAUUUUGUACAUGGUUAGAAUGAAUAAAAUCAUGACUUUGUUGUUUAAUCAUAUAAUAUUUUUGAACAAAGAAGAGCAAAAGAUCAAUCAUGAUUUUAACACUGAAAAUUCCUCAUUGAAAAACGUUGUCCACGACCGAGUUACUGAUAACGGCCGACCUUCCGCCCUCACUCUCUCACACUAGCCAAGUGGCACAAUGGAAAAGAAAAGUUGGCAUCGGCUAGAGGUUUCAAGAGUCAUUGUGGAUUGGCCGACAGCUCGUAUGCACCUUAGGAAAGUAGGAGAAAUUCUAAAAUACUCCUGAUAUAUUACAAUCAAUUGAUGUAUGCAUGUCAUGUGUAGUUGAAUUUAAUAUAACUACCACUUACAUGAUGAUUUUUUAAACUAAAUGCACACAUGUCAUAACAUCAUUUACUUAUUAUAUGACUGACGUGGUACCUCUAAUGUAUUCUAGAAUUUCUCGCGUAAGUAGACGCGACAUGCGUGAUGCGUGGAUAACUCGAAUCAACAAUCAAUCAAUUUAUUGUUCCGCAAGUCUUACUCAAUUGAGAAGACUAGUCCACGCAUAUAGUGAAGUCGCUAGCAGAAAAGAAUAGGAUAAUAAAAGACGAAAGAAUACUUUGAGAAUGCACUAUAUUUCCAUUUCUUUUUAACUUGAAUAUUUAUUAUCGUUUACAUGACUUGACAGGCUUGUUAUAUUAUUUUAUUUAGCAAUCACAUGGUCAUUGUCUGCACUACACUUUGUCUAGUAUUUCUGAGUGCUAGCUGAGUCACAAGUCACCUUAUCAUGUUUGUUGAGCUUGCCUGUCUUGCUUGAUAUGCUUUGUUCUAACACCAGCUGUUUCCUUGGAACCAACUCUCAAAGACUCUUACUACUUUUAUAAGGAAGUCAACCUCUCGAUUGUAAGAUAAAAUUUUACGUGGAUAUGAAGGCAGACACGAGGGGACACAAUCCUUUUUUGAAUCGUGAUUGAGAGAAAUUUUAGAAUACAUCUGUUGUACCAUAUUAACCAUACAACAAGCAAAUAAUGCAAUAACACGUGUAUUUAUUUUGUAAACUAUUACUUAGUGGUAGUUGUAUUAAAGUCAAUUACACGUCAUACAUGCAUUAAUUAGUUGUAAUACAAUAUGUAUAUUCUAAAAUUUAUCAAUGAUUGGAUACAUUAAAAGUUAUUGGCCCGCAAAAGGGAAAUGUCCUGCUCAAUUAGAUGUUAAUAUGGCUAAUGUAUUUUUGGAAGCAAUGAAAGCUCUUCCGGCAAAGCAACUGCACUAGCUCUAUUUACUCUAAACCGUAUAUUGGUCGCUGAUCUCUCAUUGCUCUAGAUAUAUAAUGGGUUUUAAAAUUUUGCUUGGUUUCGUUUCUUACAUGCUUCUGAGUAUCAUUCGUCUUACCUCCGGUCAGACAUGCUACGAUACAGGAAACUUCACCACUAAUAGUACCUACGGUAAGAAUCGGGACCUGUUUCUCUCAUCUCUUGCUUCUACCGUAACCGCGAACAAGGGUUUCUACACUGCCACCAUUGGCCAGAUUCCCGACGAAGUUUACGGUCUUGCACUCUGCAGAGGAGAUUCUUCUCCAGAAUCAUGUGCCAGCUGCCUGAAUUUCACAGUUCUUGAUAUGAUGAAGAACUGUCCGAACCAAAAAGAAGCAAUUUCAUGGGAAGGAAUGGAUUUUCCUUGCGUUGUCCGCUAUUCAAGCCGCUCUUUCUUUGGAAAACUAGAGCUGAAACCCACAGAAAUCGCCCAUAAUGUAAAUAAUAUCACUUCAAGUUUGACACAGUUUGAUCGGAUCUGGAGGAGUUUAAUGGAUCGCGUACUGGCAAAAGCUUCUUUGGGCACUUCCAAGCUCAAAUUUGCAACUGAUGAGGCAAAUUUGACAAGCUCUGAAACGAUAUAUGCACUAAUGCAGUGCACUCCAGAUAUAUCCCAGAGUGACUGUGAAUUUUGUCUACGUCAAAGUAUGGCUGAUGUGCAGAGUUGCUGUUAUGGGAAGAAAGGAAGUUAUAUUAUGGGACCCAGCUGUAUAUUUCGCUGGGAAAUGUAUCCAUUCUAUGGAGCUACUGCUGAUUCUUUAUCGCCAUCUCCUCUGAGUCCACCCAGUACUACUACUGAUACGACAAUCGCCAAAGGUAUUUUCACGCCCGCCGCCGCUGUUAGUAUCUCACUAAUAUCCAAUCUCGACACGAGUUAACAGUCGCGCAUAUCUUUAUGAUUUAUUUUUGCAGACAAAGGCGGCAAUAGCAUUUCAUCUGGAACUGUCGUAAUCAUUGUUGUUUCUACGAGUACUUUCAUCAUUGCACUUGUUGCUUUGAUCACUUGUGUCUUUCUACGAAGGAGGAAGAAGAAGCAGAAGCAGAAUCUCAGAAAAGGUUAGUUAAUUAUGUGUUUUCUCCCCUGUUAUUAAAAGGUAAAAUUUUACAUAUGCUACAACCAAUAAAACGACUUCCACCGAAGCAAAGAAACUAAUAUGCUGUCAUUAGAAGUUGCCCGUUGUGUUCUUCUUUAAUAAAGAUUUUUUUUGAAAUUGUUAUUAAUUUUGUACAAAUCUAUAUGCUAACUUAUCACUAUUUUGAAGCCGAUGAAAUCAAUACUGUGGAAUCCUUGCAAUUUGACUUCAGCACCAUCAGAGAUGCAACAAAUAACUUCUCCACAGAUAAUAAGCUUGGACAAGGUGGAUUUGGUGCUGUUUACAAGGUACUUGAACCAUUACAUGAACGUCGAAAAUAAUACUGAUCGUUAGUGCAAAUCAUUUGGCACUUACCCUGUUUUGUUUUGUUGGUAAAAUGAUUUCAGGGAAGGCUUUCACACGGACAGGAAAUAGCAGUAAAGAGGCUGUCUAAAAAUUCGGUUCAAGGAGAACUAGAAUUUAAAAACGAGGUCCUAUUGGUGGCCAGGCUUCAACAUAGAAAUUUGGUUAGGCUUCUAGGUUUCUCCUUUGAAGGAACCGAAAGGCUUCUCAUCUAUGAGUUUGUGCCUAAUUCAAGCGUAGAUAAAUUUAUAUUUGGUAAUGGUUGCACGUUUCCUUUUAAGCUUUUAAAGAUAUUAUUCCAGUUAUCCUAAUUCACUCAUAUUGCACUUUGUUGUUUAGAUGCUUAUAUAAUAAUUAAAAUGAUCUCGUUAAGGCAGAUAUCAUGAAGGACCCUAUUAAUCCCCACUGAAAUUGAUAGCAUCUAUACAUAAUUAAAUUCUCUUGACAUCGAUGCAAAUUUUCAAUGCAUCAAAUGUUGCUAUUCUUGUUUGUGUAAUAUCUCCUGUAGCCUGCUGUUUAUUACCCUUUUGCAACCAAAAUUAUAAGUUUUGUGGCUUUUGUAAAUUGGUAGAUGCAAUCAAGCGCGUGCAACUAGAUUGGGAAACUCGACACAAAAUCAUUGGGGGUAUAGCUCGAGGAAUUCUUUACCUUCACGAAGAUUCAAGGUUACGGAUCAUUCAUCGUGACCUCAAAGCAAGUAAUAUUCUUUUAGACGCAGACAUGAUUCCAAAAAUUUCAGACUUUGGAAUGGCAAGGUUGUUUGAAAUGGAUCAAACUCAAGGCGAUACAAGUAGAAUUGUCGGGACCUUGUAAGUAUACGGAGAUUAACUUCAGAUUGUUCAUUUUAUGUUUGAAGUCUAAAAUUAUAUUGACAAUUUUUUUUUUAUUAUUUUCAGUGGUUACAUGGCUCCAGAAUAUGUAACUCGAGGACACUUCUCCAUAAAAUCUGAUGUUUUUAGCUUUGGUGUGUUAGUCUUGGAAAUCAUCAGUGGUCAAAAGAAUAAUAGUUUCCGUAUUGGAGAGGAGGCAGAGGACUUACUGACUUACGUAAGUAAUAAUCAUCAUAUAUUAUACGUAAGUCUGAAAUGUUAAGAGAUCAAACAAAACAUUUAACGCCGCCGUUGUAUUUUUCUCUAGGCAUGGAAAAAUUGGAACGAAGGAACAGCUUUAAAUCUGAUAGAUCCCACACUGAGGAACGGUUCCAGUAGUGAAAUAAUGAGAUGCGUCCACAUCGGAUUGCUAUGUGUUCAAGAAAAUGUUGCAAAUAGACCAACCAUGGCUUCAGUUGUUGUCAUGCUUAAUAGCAGCUCUCUCUCCCUGCCACUACCUUCGCAGCCUGCAUUUUUUAUGCACUCUACAAUGGAGCAGGAUAAUUUGGAAUUCACCUCAUCUGAUCAAUCUAAAAGCGGUUCCAUUCAUUUUACAGUCAAUGAAGUUACAAUUAGUGAGCUAGACCCUCGCUAACUUUCAGGGACAUAGGCUCUAUCUUUAAGCAAGUUUGUACUAUGAUAUUUUGUUGUAUGAGAUGAAUUUGGAUAGAUGCUAAUCUUUUGAAGAUUUUGUGUGAUUGCGUAUUGUUAAUUACUUAUAGAAGAUAAUUGAGAAUUACUUACAUAUAUAUUCUUAUCAAAUUAACUAAACAUCACAACUUUGUAUGUAACAAGAGUAGUUUAAAGAUUAUAUCAUCAAAUCAAUGUAAAUCUUGUCCCAUAAAUGACUUUGAUUUUUGUCUUCAACAAAAAAUUAAUACAAAGUUCAAAAAAUAUCUAAAGUGGAAGAUUGAUUCCAUGGCAACUAUUCAUUCCUUUGUUCAAGUUGAAUGUUAACAAAAACCGUGGCCAAAAAUCACAUACAAUUUCUUUAAUCUUUACUUUGUUUCAAGCACUCCCAUAACAAUCGCCGUGUGUUUCGUUAAAAGAUUUUUAUUAGUCUUGAAAAUCAGUGAAUAUAAAAGAUUUUAUAUUCGAGCUAACUAACUAAAAAAAUAAUAAUAAUUAUAAAACAGGGAAAAUAACGUAGCAGAUAAGAUUAGCUGCAGUAUGCUCAGCAUGUUUACCUAACGGCAACUAAUGCUGAGCUGGCACUUAAGCAUACCAACAGCGGACAUGGUUGGCACUUGGUCAAACCCACGGUGACCUAGCUUCCUUGACACGUAUUAAUAGUACGAAAAUGCGACUGAAUGCUGAUAAAUUAAUUAAAAAUAAAUAAAAUGUUGACACGAGUAGACUUUCGGUUCGCGAAGUCAAGUCAAGCCAACUAAUUUUUCACUCGAGUCAUCUCAAAAAAAAAAAAAAAACAAAAACAAAAAUUUUCAGUUGAUCAAGUCUUUUGACACCCCUUUAAAUCCCAUAUAAAACUCAUCUUUAACUGAAAAUUAUUUAAAUAAAUAAAGAUAAAUUCAUUUAUUUUUUAUUUUGAAUUAAAAUUCAAUCAAGCACAUAUACAAAUUAUUUUUUAACAAUUUUUACACCACUCUAUUUCAUAAUUUAUAUUUAUAUUUGAUAUUUUAAUUAAAAAUAUUUUUUGAGAAACUUUUAAGAAUAUAAAAUUAUGAAAAGAUAUUAUAUAACAAAAAAAAAACUUAAAAUUUUAGUAUUUAUAUGCAUUUAUAAUUAAAGGCUCUAAAAAAAUAUUAUUUUCAAGGUGAAAUUUAAUGAAAAGAUUAAUGAUUUUAGUUUAUGGAAUAGUAUUUUAUAAAUUAAGUUGAGAAUACUUUAGGGAAUAAAAUCAAAAGGGACGAUAUAAGGCUUUUUGGGAGUGUUAAAAGCUCCACUAUUUUCAGUUUACUCAAGGAAAACACGAAGCCCACCCUAGGAGAGCCCAAUUGGCCCAAUUAGCCAUUGCCAACCAGCAUGCGCAUAUAAUAAGCAAGCUGCCCCUCUAAAUUGGAAAACUUUUUUUUUUUUUUUUUGUUUCUGCCCCUCAAUUCUCUUGAGUUUAGAUCAUGAUAAAUUCUACCGAGGCGAAGCCAAGAUUUUUUUUUUUUAAGUAUGCUAUAAUUAAUUUUAGUCAAUGUAAUAAUUACGACAUUUUUUAUUUAAAAAAAAAACUAAACGUCAAUUAUACAUUUAUAAGAAAUAUCUACUACAAAAAUGAUACAUGAAAUGUAUCCAAUAGAAUAACUUGUAUCCUAUACCUAAAAAAAAAAAGAAAAAAGGACAAACACACCCCCCAACGUUUAGACAAAGGGAUAAAAACUCCCCUAAAGUUUCAAAAAAGAUAUUUAUACCCCCAUUCACUAACGGAAACCAUUACUUUUAACGGAAAUAGUAAUUUUAAUGUAUAAUUACCAUUAUACCCUUAUAGCAUAUAAAAAUAAUUAUUGAUUGUCCAUUUUAAGUCUUUUGACACCCCUUUAAAUCCCAUAUAAAACUCAUCUUUAACUGAAAAUUAUUUAAAUAAAUAAAGAUAAAUUCAUUUAUUUUUUAUUUUGAAUUAAAAUUCAAUCAAGCACAUAUACAAAUUAUUUUUUAACAAUUUUUACACCACUCUAUUUCAUAAUUUAUAUUUAUAUUUGAUAUUUUAAUUAAAAAUAUUUUUUGAGAAACUUUUAAGAAUAUAAAAUUAUGAAAAGAUAUUAUAUAACAAAAAAAAAACUUAAAAUUUUAGUAUUUAUAUGCAUUUAUAAUUAAAGGCUCUAAAAAAAUAUUAUUUUCAAGGUGAAAUUUAAUGAAAAGAUUAAUGAUUUUAGUUUAUGGAAUAGUAUUUUAUAAAUUAAGUUGAGAAUACUUUAGGGAAUAAAAUCAAAAGGGACGAUAUAAGGCUUUUUGGGAGUGUUAAAAGCUCCACUAUUUUCAGUUUACUCAAGGAAAACACGAAGCCCACCCUAGGAGAGCCCAAUUGGCCCAAUUAGCCAUUGCCAACCAGCAUGCGCAUAUAAUAAGCAAGCUGCCCCUCUAAAUUGGAAAACUUUUUUUUUUUUUUUUUGUUUCUGCCCCUCAAUUCUCUUGAGUUUAGAUCAUGAUAAAUUCUACCGAGGCGAAGCCAAGAUUUUUUUUUUUUAAGUAUGCUAUAAUUAAUUUUAGUCAAUGUAAUAAUUACGACAUUUUUUAUUUAAAAAAAAAACUAAACGUCAAUUAUACAUUUAUAAGAAAUAUCUACUACAAAAAUGAUACAUGAAAUGUAUCCAAUAGAAUAACUUGUAUCCUAUACCUAAAAAAAAAAAGAAAAAAGGACAAACACACCCCCCAACGUUUAGACAAAGGGAUAAAAACUCCCCUAAAGUUUCAAAAAAGAUAUUUAUACCCCCAUUCACUAACGGAAACCAUUACUUUUAACGGAAAUAGUAAUUUUAAUGUAUAAUUACCAUUAUACCCUUAUAGCAUAUAAAAAUAAUUAUUGAUUGUCCAUUUUACCCAUAUUGUUAAUAAAAUUACAAACAUAUCCUUAUUGUCCAAUUCUUCUAUUUAAAUUGUCAAAAUUUCUCUUCAAAACAAACAAAUUUAAUUAUUAUUCAAGAAUAAAAAUAAAUAAGUUUAAAUUUUUGUCAAAUGUAUUCUUCAAAUUAAAUAAAUUUAAUUAUUAGUUAUUAAUGCCAUAAAAAAUAAUAAUUUCAUUAUUAUUUUCCACAAUUGCAUAUAGAGUAAUUUAUUGUUUCCAUAUAUUGUAUAAUAACAUGAUUAGUUGAAGAAUCUGACUUAUUUCCAUGCAUCGGUAAAUUUAAUCAUUACUCAAAGAAUAAAAAUAAAUAAAUUUAUUUUUUUGUUAAAUUUUUUCUUCAAAUCAAAUAAAUUUAAUCAAUACUCAAAAAUAAAAAUAAAUAACACGAGUCAUAUGCCAUAAAAAUAAUAAUUCUCCACAUGUCAACCGAAAAAAAAAAUGGUUACAACAAUAAUCACAAAAUCUUAAUAGUAGUAAAUAUUGUAUCAAAUUGGACUAAUAAACAUUACAAUAAUAACCAUAAUAUCUAUAAAAAAAAUCUGUUCACAAAUUUGUAUGACAACUCUGACUAUUAGCCUGUGGACUUCCUCUCAUAACUUGUGUGGUUGUUGCUGCACAAUUAAUAUAUAAAUAUUAGUAUAUAAACUUUAUUUUUUCAUAUAACAACCAAAAGAUAAAAAAGUAGGAUUACCUGAGGGGUGUUGAGUGGAAUCCAGUGGCACAUUUUUGCAUACUCUUUUAUUAUGGCCGAAAUUGGUACAAUUACCACAUCUUUGCUUGGUCUUUCUUUCCCCUUGUUCCCCUGGCUCUCUUCUUCUUACUAUUUUAGGCCUACCAACUCUUGUUUUGACAUAUGGAAGUAACACUUUUAAACCUUCAACAACAGCCCAUGGACUUUGAUCUGGAAGUGGAUGUAUGAUACUUGCAUAUGUGGCCAAAUAUGCUGCCACUGUCAGUUUUUUGUCCAUAUAAUCAGCAGGAUCCUCAUGUAUUUGAGCAAUACAUGGCAUGAUAUGUUUACAUAGUAUCCCACAAAUUUAAUAGACACCACAAUCACAAGUUUUAUUCUACAAAUUAACUAAAAAUGUUUUAUUAUUCACAUCCAUUACCUCAAAUUCAUACUCACUAGCCAUAAUCACCCUUACAAAUCUUCCUUCUUACCUAGAAACAUUCAACUUUCUCCUCACGAUUGGAGGUAGCUUCCCAAUCUAUUUUCUUGCAUUAGAAUGCCUUUUAUACAAUCUUUUCAUAACUUUCUUCCUAAUGAAUUCCAUAAGUGUCAACACAGGCUUGCCUCUGCAUUCAUUUAACCAGCUGUUCCAUGACUCAAAUAAGUUGUUGGUUACAUGAUCAACUUUUACAUCAUCAGGAAAUGCAUGUUUGGCCCACUGUUUCUUGUCAAUCUUGAUCAAAUAAUCAUAAGCAGCUUGUGUGUCUUUUUUAGCUGUUUUUAUUUUAUUCAUGUUGUCUUCCCAUUCAUCUGCACUAGUGGCUCUUGCUGCUGCCCAAAAUAGGUUUCUGUAGAUGAUAUCAGGAUGAUUACUUCUUAAGUUAGCAAAUAUAUGUCUGGCACAAUGCCUCACUGUUGCACCAUGCCAAUAUGCUUCUAAGCCUACCAAUAUUCCUUUUUGCCUAUCUGUCAUAAACGUCACUUGACUCUAAUUCUCUAUGUUCAAACACUCACUCAAUAUUGCCAAAAAACCAUUUCCAACUUCUAGCACAUUCUGAUUUGCAAAUACAAACAAUAAUUGGAAAAAUUCCACUGUUUGCAUCUAAUGCCACAGCUGACAAUAGCACACCUCCAAAAGGCCCUUUUAAAUGACAACCAUCCAAUCCAAUAAACCACCUACAUCCAUUGAUGAAUCCAUUCUUCAAACCAGCAAAGCUAAACAUAAACCUCUGAAACUUCAAAGCGGGUCUUCUAUCUUUAUCAAAACUAGGCACAAAUUUCAUCUUUACUAACACAUCGAGAUUUCUCUGUUUAAGUAUUUGGGCAUAAUCCCUUAGCCUCGGAUAAGAAUGUACAUAGUUCCCAUUUAAUUUAUCCAUUGCUCUUUUUUUGGCCCUAUACAAUUUCUUCAUGCUUGCUUUAGUCCCGAAAUUGGAAAUCAACAUCUUUAAUUGCCUUCACAGGCAUUUUUGGGUUAUUCUUCAAAGUUCCCUCAAACUGAGAGGCUAUCCAUUUAUAUGAUGCCUCUUUGCUCUCUAACACUCCAUGACACUCAUGUACAUCAUUUAGCUUUUGAAUUUUGAAUUUUAUCCCAGAUUCUACUUGUGCUGCAUAAAUAAACCACAGAUAACCCUCAUUCGAGCACUUUGCUCUCAACAUUCUCUUCUCAUUCUUGAUCUUGUUAAGAUCAAACCCAUGCUUAAGAACAUAGUUUUGAAGUACUCUUCUGAAAUGUUGGACAUUGUCAAACUCUUGCCCAACAAUAAAUCCAAUCAUUUCAUUAUAGGUUAAAUCUUGAAUAAUGAAAUGAAAGCUCAUCUUCAGAUUCUGAAAGCAGGCCAUGUUCUCUAUCUUCUGACUCACAAUUGGAAAGAAUUCUAUCUCCUUCUUCACUAUCUUCACAAUCCACUUCUUCACCGCCUUCAAUAUGCCCAACAUCCACUCCAUCGUCAUCCCAAUUUAAUUCAUAUGCCGGUUUUGAAUCGUCAAACAUGCUUAAUAAUGCUUCUUCGUUUGGUAGUAUCUCCUUUGUUCUAGAGGGUAGAGGCUAGAGGCCAGGCAAUUGUUCAACUUUUAAUUUUCAUUCAACCAAUAAUGAUGAGAAAUACAAGGAAAAAAAAUGUGUCGUGUUAAGCUCCCAAAUAAACUCAAAGUUGGCAUCCCACGUCCAGUUAUUGAUAGCAAGGUUUAGGUUUUUUAAAAGUUCAUUUAAAUUUAGACGGAUUUGGGCAGUGCUUGAGCUAGGCUUUCUAUUAAUUUUAAAAUAAACUUUUAGUAAAAUUAAAAAAAAUUGAAUGAAAAAUAAUUAUUCAAUACAUAAUAGAAUAAUAAUUUAAUACACAGAAUAUUAAUAACAUAACAUAAUAAAUUAUAAAUAUUAAUGUAAAAAGUAUAUUAAUUUACUAUUUUGAGCUUUUUUUAACUUAAUUUAUUUUUUAUUUAUAAAUUAAAAAGACUUAGACUUUUAAUCAAGUUCAAUCUAUGCGGAUUUUAUAUUCUUGAGUCCAUAUUUAGAUCUAAUUUAUACUAAUUGAGUUUUUAUAAACCCUAAUAUGAAUUGUAUCGUAUCAAAACACAUUCCAUAAUAAUAUUUUGAAUUUUGAUGAUCCUUUUCUCCCUUUCUAAACAAAUAGUUCUUGAGGAAAUCAGUAUCAAUGAAUCUUGAACCCUUUGAAGAAUUAGUGGUAAACCAUUAAAAUUCUCGAAAAUGACCAAUGAAAGCACAUAUCCUAGAACUUUCGAAUUUUUUCGGAGCACUUUCCAUUUUAUAUUUUACAUUUCCUAUCAGGUGUUACACGCGUGUGGGUCCCGAUGUAAUACAAUUUAUACCCACCCACAAGAUCGUGAGUUGGGAAUCCAACAGAGAUCUCGUUUGGUUUGGGUUUAGAUCUUGAAUGCAUAAUCGACACGUGAUUUCAUCGUAAGAGCAUCACCGUCAACAUCAUGGAAAGCGGAAACACCUUUAUCAUUUUUAACACCUUCCGAUUUGACCUUUUUUUCCCCAAGCGGCGUGACGUGUGCUAUUUGAAAUUCGACCACCUCUUUGGCUGAUUGGCUCUUACUUUCAAGUCCUUUGUGCUUGUGAUUACAUUUGUGAGAGCUUUGCUGCCACGCAUUACCGAGAAAAUGUUAAAUAAACUAAUCCAAAAAAAUAAAAUAAAAAAGUUUUAUAUUUCAAUUUUCAAUUAGGGUGUUCCGGUCCGUCUAAGCUUACAGUAGUUUUAUUUGACAUUUUACCACCUUUUUUUUUUUGGUUGCAUAUUAUUAAUUUUUCGUUAAAAUUUUUAAGUUGUUUAUCGCAUAUUUCAAUAAAGAGUUUGUUUUAGUCAGACCCUAAAUUAAGAGGUCGGUCAGGCGCACCAACCCCAUUACUCGUACGACGAUAAAGAGUAAAAUUUUUAGGCUCGCGAGAAAAAUUAAACUUAAAAUCUCAAUACAAUAAAGUGUCAGAUCCCAAACCUUCAAUCAAUUAAACUACCCUUUACGAGAAAGGUCAUAAACAUAAUUUCACACACACAUAUAUAUAGCCAAAUAAGAUCGAUAAAAAUGGCAUGGUAGUUUCUACUCCCACGAGCUUAUAACCAGCAGCAGCAGCAGCAUUGAUAAAUUAAAAAAAAAAAAAAACCCCAAAUAAUGAUAGCUUCAGAUUUACUAAUCUUCAUCUGACCAAUUGAAUCGUUGGAUUGUUUAUCCAGUCGUUUACAUUUUUUGAGUUUUACAUUUUACUCUUGAAGAAAAGAGAUCGUAGGAGAGCUUGUUGACCGAAGCAUGGCAUUGGGCCGUACGGUUAGCGUUGGGCGCGAGUCAAAGGAAAGCAGCCUUAUUUCUUGUCUCUUGACUUGUCCUAAUUAGUAAUUUCGGCAGCAGUGGUUUUGUAGCGGCGAUCCUCACCGACAAUUACGGGCUUCGUGUGCAUGCAACCCACAUGGCGCAUGGUUCGUUCUGCCCCCUCUAUGUCAGAAAAUUAUAAUUUUGGGAUCGGGAUCUUAACUUACCAUCAGCAAAACCAAAAUCAAAAUCAGUGGUCUAAACUUACAACUUGCUUCUGACUUCGAACGGCGACGUUAAGAGCUUUAUUGGGCAAAUGGCCAAAUGGGAUUGUUAUUUAUUUAUUUAUUUAUUUAUUCAAAUCACGAAACGAGGUUCAAAAACCAUGGUACAUCUGGACUGUUGACGCGUUUGACUUGGACCCUUUUCUAUUUGCAUUUGGUUUUCGCUAGAAUCUUUACAAUUUUGAACCGCAAGAAUAGCUUCUAAUUAUUGAUCAAGUUGUAAUCAAAUAAUGAUGAUUUAUUGGUUGAUGUAUUCUAUUUGCAUUUGGUUUUGGCAAGAAUCUUUGCAAUUUUGAAUCGCAAGAAUAGCUUCUAAUUUUUUUUUAUGAAGUUGUAGUCAAACUUGAGACCCAAGGAAAAAAAAAAUUGUGCCAAAAAUGGAAUGACGUAGAGGAUACAGGAACCUUAUAUAUAUAUAUAAGAGAAAGUUUAUGAUACAUGUGAGGUAAUAAAAGUCGAAUUUUAUGGUAAUAGCUCGAUUCCAUUUAAUUUUAAUUAAUUAAAAUAUUUUCUUAUAGGGCCUACCAAAAUAGUUUUUUUGAAGUUUUAAUAAUUUUCUAGUACUUCCCAUUCGAAUCCAACAUGCUCACUUUCUAGUAAACCCUUAAAAAAUAAUAAUUUUUUUUAAAAAAAACUUUCCUCGUACAGGAGAAAACCAUUGACUAGGAUAAAAUAACACUUACACCCCCCUAAUUUAUUGCCCUUCACAAAAUCGCAUUAGUGGAGCCCGGUAAAAAGAUAAUAGGACCUAUGAUACGAAAAUGAAUAAACUAUUUGCAAAAGCGUAAAUAUCUAGGGCCUCAAUUAUCAAUUUCUUAUUCCCCAAACAAAAUCUUUCCCUCGAAACCGCCCCUGGUUUCAUGAUACAUAGAUUCAUAGCAGUAACAUUCCGUUGCUUGCUCCCAGUCACAAACUCACUAUAAAAUCUCUCUGGCAAACGCCAAUUUCAUUCGUUCAUCGAACACUUGUCACACUCUAGAAGUUCAAAAAAAAAAAAAAACAUUUCUCAAAGACACUUUUCGGAAACACAUUAACAAACGGACAAUUCUUCGUCUCCGGCCCUUCAAUCAAUCAUGGACACUAAAAUUGGAUCACUCGACACCUGCAAGCCCCCAUGCAGCGACUUAGCCAGCCCGCCAAACGGUGCCGUUUCAACAAUCCAAUCCUCCGUUCCCGCUACUCCACUCGUCAACCCGUCCGAGUCGACCCUCGGCCGCCACCUCGCUCGCCGGCUCGUCCAAAUCGGCGCCACCGACGUCUUCUCGGUCCCCGGCGACUUCAACUUGACGCUUCUCGACCACCUGAUAGCCGAGCCCGGGCUCAACUUGAUCGGUUGCUGUAACGAGCUGAAUGCCGGAUACGCUGCCGAUGGGUACGCUCGCUCGCGUGGGGUCGGCGCCUGUGUCGUGACCUUCACCGUUGGUGGGCUUAGCGUGCUUAACGCUAUCGCCGGUGCUUACAGUGAAAAUCUGCCGUUGAUUUGCAUCGUUGGUGGCCCAAACUCCAAUGAUUACGGAACCAACAGGAUCCUUCAUCAUACCAUUGGCUUGCCUGAUUUUAGCCAAGAACUCAGAUGCUUUCAGACUGUCACCUGUUAUCAGGUAACGAUAGUAAUAAUUUAUUUAAAAAAAAAGCUUUCUUUCUUUAUUUUUAUAACUUAAUAACUGAAAAGUUUCCUUUUUUUUUGUUUUUAAAAAAAAGAUCAAGCAUUGAUAUUAUUAAUAUAUAAGCUUGACUGGUUUUUGAUGAUGGGUAUGAUAUUUUUGAUAGGCUGUGGUGAAUAACUUGGAGGAUGCACAUGAGUUGAUUGAUACGGCAGUAUCAACUGCUUUGAAAGAAAGCAAGCCUGUUUAUAUCAGCGUUGCUUGUAACUUGCCUGCGAUUCCUCAUCCUACUUUU